AUAGAAACAUCAGUGAUGAGAGAGAAUCAUUGCUGUCUGCCUUCUGCACACCCUACACUGGGGUUCAAGUUUCAAGCCCGCAAGCCUGGGCAUGUGCCCUGACCAGGAAUUGAACCAUGACCUCCUGGUUCACAGGCCAAUGCUCAACUACUGAGCCACGCCAGCUGGGCAAGAAGCCAAUUCUUGACUCCUCUCUAACUCCAUCUCCUGUCCUUCUCCCUUACAGGUACUCUGCUCACGGCUAUCCUUCCAUCCCUGACACAGAGUGUUCCUGUUGCAGGGCCUUUGGACGGGCUGUCCCUCUGCCUGGGCCUCUUUUCCGGGUGUUAGCUCCUUUCUGUCACCCAGGACUCAGCUCAAAGGACAUCCCUUCCAAGAGGGCUACCCGAGUCACUCUAUCUAGAGUAACUUCCCAGGUCAUCCAUCCAGAGUAACUUUAGCACACACAUAGUGGCCAUCAGCUCUUCUGAAUUAAUAAGCCUUUUUUU